rnacentral:rRNA from 1 species
UACGUAGGGUGCAAGCGUUGUCCGGAAUUAUUGGGCGUAAAGAGCUCGUAGGCGGUCUGUUGCGUCGGCUGUGAAAACCCGGGGCUCAACCCCGGGCCUGCAGCCGAUACGGGCAGACUAGAGUUCGGCAGGGGAGACUGGAAUUCCUGGUGUAGCGGUGAAAUGCGCAGAUAUCAGGAGGAACACCGGUGGCGAAGGCGGGGUCUCUGGGCAGUAACUGACGCUGAGGAGCGAAAGCGUGGGGGAGCGAACAGG